ACUCAAAGGCAGGGGUCGGGAGAAGUUGAAUACCCAUCAUCCCUCACUCGCCAGCGAGUCCCGCUCCCAGUGUAGCUCGGUCUCCACCCUGCAGGGCACCAACCCCGCCCACCACACCUAAAUCCCGCCCCUAGGACGCAGCCCUGCUGCAGUUUCAUCCUGCAGGCCGUUAUGGGUCUCUCCCUAGUUUUGAUCCCUGUAGAGGGAAACCAGGAUUUCUUCUCCACAGCUGGAUGACAAAGGGUGUCAGUUGUCCCUCGCCUGCAGAAUGACCUCUCUAGACCCGCGAGCCCAGUUCCGGCCACUUCCGCUUUCGGCGACACGGAGACAGGAAGCGGAAGUGCGCGGGAGGCCGCGGCCGUGAAGGGCUGCUCCGCGCCGGGCUGUGGGAGUUGUUCUUUUCGAGGAGGCGGGGGAGCGCCUGUCUGAGGACGCCUCAUAUCUGGCCGGGCGCUGCUUCCUUCCACCGGCCUGGUCCCAGGUGCGGCCCGCGUUUGCUGCUGAGCCGCCGCGGAGCCCGGGUCCCCACCGCGCGCCUCGGGGCCCCGCCUCUGCCCCUCAGGCAAGGUGACUGCGUGCUGGAACGAGCUUUACGUUUCAUACUGUGUUUAAUAGUGCAGCUUGAGAGUUAGAGUAGGGUUUGCACGUGCAGAUUGGUUUGAGUGGUUUUUAAAUUUUAUUUUAAAAAUGGAAAGGACAAAUUAGACGAUCCGGUAUAUCUAUGCCCAUCCAGAUAAUUUUUUGCGUGUUUGUGACUGUUUGCGAUCCUUAAAUUUAAGACCUGUUUGCUUUGCUUCACUUUUGUUCGCUUUUCCCUUCCCUUUCUUUGUUUUUAUUUAAGCGAACUUUUAAAUGUGUAGCCUUUCCUUUGAUUAUGUGCAUCAACUCCUUUGCUUCAGGCUUUUUUUUUUUUUUUUUUUUUUUUUUUACAGUACGAGAUUAUCAAGAAACCCAGUUGCCAGGUCACAAAUGUUAUUAUCAAGGAAAAAUGAUACUGCGUAGUUCUACUCAAGGUGGCUCCAUACCUUACUCCAGACUUGUGAAGCACAAAUCAUCAAAACAUAAGGAGCUCCAGGAAAAGGGUAACAUAGUGCCAGGAGUGGAAACUGAGUGGGUCGUAAAUGGGAUGACUUUUUUUUUUUUUUCAAAUCAGUUUUAUUUCAAGGAGAAAAAAAAAAAAAAAAAAAAAAAAAGGAAAAGAACCCUAAAAAUUUCAAGAUAUGUCAUCGGGUGGCAACAGUGGUACAUAUAUUGCACAUUGUCAUCCCCAAAUCAUACACCCAGAGCACAAAACAUUUGCAUUCAGUUGUCCAAACAAUAUCAGCACAAGUCUUUCUCUUUAGUGAACUCAGAGAAAUCAGUAGAUUAAUUAACUAGUUUUUUUUUUUUUUUUUUUUCUCUUUUUCCUUUUUGUGGUACCAGGGAUCGAACUCACGACUGCCUACUUGCAAGGCAGGUGCUUAUGCCGCUGAGCUAAAUCCCCAGCCCCCUUUUUUUUCUUUUUUCUUUUUUUUUGUCUUUUUCCUUUUUAUCGACAUAUUUCUUCAUCUGAGAACUGUGUAUUCAUCUCAGAUGCCCACUUUUGGAUUGCAUCUUUAAAUCUGGGAGGACUGAUUUUUUUCUGUUCAUUCUGUAUUCUUUUUAGAUUUUUUUUUAAUUUUAAAGAACAAAAGAAAACAGAAUGAAACAAGGCAAAUCAGAACAGGAAAAUGCAAACAACACAGCCUUUCACAACAAAAAAACUGGACAUCAACAGUAGCUAACAAUGUCUCUUUUCUUUGAAAUAGUUGAGCAUACCUUCACACACAAUAAUAUCAAACAUAACAAUACAGUAAAAAAAAUUCAAAAGAAUGAAAGCAUUAUAGGGCUUCAAAACCAAAUAACAGGAAAUGAACAAUGGCUGCUAUAAUACUCAUGUUCCUCAAAAAAUUUGUCUAUAACAUCACACAUAAUAAAAUCAAAACACAACAGGAUAGCACCAGUCAAAACAGAAGAACAAAAGCAUGGUAGGACUUCAAAACAAGAUGAUAGUAAAUCAACAAUAGCUACCAUAAUGUCUUGUUUUCUUUAAAACAGCAUUCAUACCAUCUCACAAAUAAAAUCAAAACAAAAUAAAAUCAGACCAAUGAAUGAAACCGUUAUAAGAAUUCAAAACAAUGUAACAGGAAACCAUGAUUACCUUAAUAUUUCCCAUUAUAUUCAAAAUAGCUGCCCUUACCAUCUGAAAGCAUAAAUCUAACAAAAGACAGAACAAUGCCAAACCUAAUAAAAUUAUGUAAAGAAUGCAAGAGUUCAAGAUAGGACAAUAAAAAAUUGACAGUAGUUUCCACUUUUCCCUCUCUUUGCUCUUUUUUUUUUUUUUAACAUUUUAUUUAAAGAAAGACUAAACAAAACAGAAAUGGGUAGAAAUAAUACAUACUUUCAAAGAAAGAAUAAACAGUAAGAAAUCACUAGUUGAUGUUUACAUAUUGUCCUCUUACAAAUAGUUAUUCAAAAAUACAAAAGUGGAGCAUAUAAAGUGGGGUUUCAAACAGUGAGACUGCAACCAGUUCUGUUCAACAAAAAAAUCACACUGAGCAAAGAAAAAUAGUAUUGCUGGGUUUCACAUUAUGAUACUUCUGGAUCAGCACUGGGUACUGUAGUGUCUCUUUUUCUUCAAAGUAUUUGUGCAUUUCAUCAUGUGUCAUAAGAUCAGUUCUCAUAAACUGUUUAUUGGUUCUACAUAUGUAUGAGUCUUAACAUGUAUUUUUAUCCUUUCUAUAUUAUAGGGAGGAACAAAACAAAGCAAGACAAAAUAAAUCAUUUUCCUAUAAACACAUGAAAUGAAAAAGACAUAUAAGACCACUGUACAAGGAUGAAUUCCUAGAAAACCAUGAAAUGAAAAAGACAUAUGAGACCACAAUAUUAGGUGAUCUACAGUAGUUACUAUGCUUUUUCUUGUUACUUUCAAUAGAAUUGUCCACAUCAUCAGACAUAAUAUAGUUGAACAUACCAUUACAUAGCUAUUUUAAUAAAAACACAACUUUGGAGACAUUGUAGGACUUCGAAAGCAGUUAAUAAUCAAACCAGAAUGGGCAUCUUAUUACAUCUUGUCAUCUUCAGAGUAGUUGCCCCUACUCUUAGACUUGAUACUAUCAAGCAUAUCAAAUUCGAAUAAAAACAGUCAAGGUAAAACAGCGGUCUAACAAACCAGCUUCAAAUAAAAUCAGUCAUAGUAAGACAAUGUGAGUAAAACAGGAUUUCAGUUUAAUGGGAAAUUAAGGAUAGUUACUGUGGUAUAACCUGCUAUUUUUGGGAUAGCUGUCUGUGCCCUCAAAUCUGAGUGGACAGACUGGAUCAAAAUAUAAGCAAACUAACAAGCGCAAUAAGACUAUUGUGACUUUUAAGUCCCAUUAACAAUGUCCUCUGCCUUCCUUCUUUAGGCAUUUUCUCACUUUUCCUCUUCUAAGGAUGCUUUCUAUAUUUUGGGUUCCACUAGCUCCUUUAGUUUUUAGAUUAGGGAGUCAACCUAUUAUCUAUCUGAGUGUUGCUGAACCUUUUUACCCCUGAGCUUGAUCUUGAGCUGUACUCCUGUACUUACUAAAGCCACAAGAUUUUCCUUCCUUCCAGCUGUGUAGUUCUACACUGCACAAAAGUGUCAUAGCUUUCCAGUCCAUCUGUGGCAGCAGGACGAGUUGUCCCUAUUUCUCUAUGGUUUCCUGUUACAUAUAGCAUUGUUUUCUCAUCUUUGACUUUCAGUCUAUUAACCCUCUAUUCAGAGCAUCUUGAUGGGUCCUGCCUCCUAGUCUACUCUGCCUGUAUUUCUCUUUGUUACUGUAUCAAGGCUAUCUAUAUUAAAGGUUAUAGCCCACCUUCUCUGCCUCAUCUCUGCUAUUCUAUUUUUCUGCUAUUAUUUUUUCCACUUUACUCCUUCAUUCCACUGUCUGCCCUGUUCAUUGAGGCCUCUCUGCCACUGUUGUUUGAAUCCUGGUAUUUUUUUUUCUCUCUUUCUCUGGAAUGUCCUUCAGUAUUUUUUGUAGGGUUGAAUUGGUGACCACGAACUCCCACAGUUCCUCCUUGUCGUGGAAAUAUCUUCUUUCUCCAUUAAUUUUGAGAGCAAAUUUUUCUGGUUACAUCAGUCUGGGUUGGAGGUUAUUUUCUUUCAGGGCUUGGACUAUUUCUCCCCAGGCUCUUCUCGAUUUGAGAGUUUGUGUUGAUAAGUCUGUCCUUAUUUUGAUGAUUUUUACUUUGUAGAUGAUCUGUUUCUUUUCUCUGGCUGCUUUUAAUAUUCUGUUCUUGUGAUGGAUUUCUGGGAUCUUGAUUAUUAUAUGUCUGGGUGUAGAUCUGUUUUGGUUGUAGGUGGCUGGAGUUCUGUGUGCCUCAUUUAUCUGGAUAUCAUUUCUUUUUCCUAUGCUUGGGAAGUUUUCCUUAAUUAUUUCUGUGAAUAGUCUUUGUAAUUCAUUUGUGGUUACUCCUGCUUCUUUGCUCACAUUUUUUAUUCUUAAGUUAUUGAUUCUUUUGUUGUUUUCUAGCCUUUGAAUUGUUUCUUCCUGGUUCUUUGUUAUUUUUAAGAGAUCUUUCCUUUCACGAUCACACAUUAUAAAUCUCUCUUCAAAUUUCAAAAGGCUAACUUUAGUUUCUGUCAAGGCAUUUUGCCAGGUUUCAAUGGAAUUUUUAGUUUCCUGGUAAUCUCUUUGGAUCUGUUUCAUGUAUUCUAGGUUUUGUUUAUAUUCUUUUUUUUAUUUAAAAAAAUAUAUAUAUAUAAAGGGGGGAGAUUAAGAUGAAAGAGGACAAAACUACAAAGGUAGGAACAGAACAAUUUAAGCAACAUAGUGUUUCACCACAGGAUAACAGUAGUUACCAUAGUGUCUGUUUCCUUGAAAUAUUUGAGUAUGCCUUUGUAUGCUAUCAAACAUAACAAGGCAGUGUAAAGCCAUUCAAGAGGGUAAAAGUAUUACAGGGUAUUUAGAACCAACUAACAGAAAAUGAACAAUGGUUUCUAUAUUAUCUCCUUGACUAUAAAAAUUUUUGUUUAUGCUAUCACAUAUAAUAAAAUCCAAUAAGAUACAAUAUGAUAAAACCGAUGGAGACAGAAGAACAAAAUCUUGAUGGGGAUUCAAAACAAGCUGAUAUUAAAUCAGCACUGGCUAUUAUAAUGUCUUUUUUUCCAAAAUAACUGUUCAUAUCAUCACAGACAAUAAAAUCAAAUAACCCAGAAUAAAACCAUUCCAAUUAAUGAAUGAAAACAUUAUAAAUCUUUAACACAAUAUAAUGGGGAAUCAUGAUUACCACAUACUUUUAUGUAUUCUUACCAUUUCUUACACUAGGGAAACUAUUUGGUGUUUAUAUAUGUGAGUUUGAUUUAUUUCACUUAUGAAUAUGGUCUCAAGCUGUGUCCACUUAUCUAUAAAUAUCUCAAUGUGAUCAUUCUUUAUAUCUGAGUAGUACUCCAUUGUAUAAAAAUACCACAACAUUUUUAUCCAUUCCUCACUUGAAGGACACUUAGGUUGUUUCCAAGGUCUGGCUAUUACAAAUUGUGCUGCUAUAAACAUCACUGUGAUAUGAUGUUUUCAGUUCUUCUGGGAAUAUUCCUAGAAGUGGAAUAACUGGAACAAAUGGGACCUCCAAUCUCAGCUUUCUGAGAAAUCUCCAAACUGACUUCCACAAUGGUUGCACCAGUCUACAUUCCCACCAACAGUGCAGGAGAGUUCUUUUUCCCCACAGAGUCUCCAGCAUUUGUCGUUGGUGGUUUUCUUGAUCCUGGCCAUUCUUUCAGGAGUGAGAUGGAAUCUCAGUGUGGUUUUAAUUUGCAUUUCUAUAAUGAUUAAUGAUAAUAAGCAUUUUUUCAUGCAUUUAUUUGCCAUUUUCUUUCUUCAUCUGAGAAUUGUGUAUUCAUCUCAGAUGCCCCUUUUUGGAUUGGAUCUUUGAAUUUUGGGGGUGUGACUUUUAAAAAAUUCUUUAUAUGUUUUAGACAGAAGUCCUUUGUCUGAGGGACAGUUCACUAAGAUUUUUUCCCAAUUUGUGGGUUUUCUUUUCACUAUGUUAGAGAUUUUUUUUUUGUCUUUUUCUUUUUUAUCGGUACCAGGGAUCGAACUCACGACCGCCUGCUUGCAAGGCAGGUGCUUAUGCCACUGAGCUAAAUCCCCAGCCCCCAGAGAUUUCUUUUGACGUGCAAAACCUUUUAAUAAGAGGUGAACCCAGUUGUUGAUUCUGGGAAAUAUUUCCCAUGCCAUUUGAUUCCUGUUCAUGAAUUCUCUACCUACCCCUAUGUCUUCAAGGUUUUUACCUAACUUGUCUUUUAAUAGAUUUAGUGUUUCGGUUUUAAUAUUUAGAGCUUUGAUCCAUUUAGAUUUUACUUUAGUACGUGGUGAUAGGCAUGAGUCUAAUUUUAGUUUUUGGCAUAUGGAGAGCCAGUUUUUCCAGCACCAUUUACAAAAAAGACUGUCCUCCUUCCAGUGAAUAUGUUUGACCCCUUUAUCAAAGAUAAAGUGGUUGAGUGUGUUUAUAGUUGUGGUUGUAUCUUCUAAUCUAUUCCAUUGAUCUUCAGCUCUGUUUUGGUUCCAGUACCAUGUUGAUUUUACCACAAUUGCUUUGUAGUAUAACUUCAAGUCAGGGAUUGUGAUGCCUCCUGCCUUGCCUUUGCUGCUCAGAACAGUCUUUGCUAUUCUAGGUCUCUUCUGGCUCCAGAUGACUUUUAGUAGUGGUUUCUCUAGAUCUAUGAGGUAUGUUGAUGGUAUUUUUAUUGGGAUUGCAUCAAAUCUGUAUAACAGUUUUGGGAGAAUGGCCAUUUUCACAAUAUUUAUUCUUCCUAUCCGUGAGCAAGGGAUGUCUUUCCAUUUUCUGAGAUUUUCUUCCAUUUCUUUCUUCAGUGUAUUAUAAUAUAUAUUAUAUAUAUGUAUAUUAUAUAUAUAUACAGUAUAUAAUAUGUAUAUUUUAUAUAUAUACAGAUCUUUCACUUCUUUUGUGAGAAUAAUUCCGAAAUAUUUCAUUUUUUUAGUUCCUAGUAUGAAAGGUGUGGCUUGUCUUAUUUCUGUCCCUGGCUUAGUGUAUAGGAAUGCUAUUGAUUUUUGUGUAUUGAUUUUGUAUCCAGCUACAUUGCUGAAUUUAUUUAUUAUAUCUAAGAGUCUUUCAAUGGAGUUUUGGGAGUCUUUUAUGUAGCGUAUCAUGUCAUCUGCAAAUAAUGAUAAUUUAACUUCUUCUUUUCCUAUCUUUACCCCUUUUAUUUCUCUCUCUUGUCUAAUUGCUCUGGCUAGUAUUUCCAGUACUAUAUUAAAUAGGAGUGGUGAUAAGGGACAUCCUUGUCUUGUGCCUGAUUUUAAGGUAAAGGCCUUCAGUUUUUUGCCAUUUAGUAUGUUACUGGCUAUUGGUUUGUCAUAGAUGGCCUUUAUUAUAUUGAGGUAAAGACCAUCUAUUCCAAUUUUCUGUAAGGUUCUUAUCAUAAAUGAAUGUUGGAACUUAUCAAAAGCCUUUUCUGCAUCUAUAGAGAUGAUCAUGUGAUUCUUACUUUUGACUUUAUUCAUAUGGCAGAUUGCAUUUAUUGAUUUAUGUAUGUUGAACCAUCCCUGCAUGCCUGGGAUGAAUCCCACUUGGUCAUAGUGUAUAAUCUUCUUGCUGAUUUGCUGUAUUCUAUUUGCCAAUAUUUUGUUGAGGAUUUUUACAUCUGUGUUCAUUACAGAGACUGGCCUGUAGUUCUCUUUUUUAGUUGGGUCUUUCUCAGGUUUUGGUAGUAAGAGUAAUAUUUGCUUCCAGGAAUGACUUAGGAAGGAUUGCUUCCUUUUCAACUUUAUUGAAGAGUUUGAGGAGUGUCGGCAUUAAGUCUUCUUUGUACUUCUUGUAGAAUUCUGCAUUGAAUCUAUCUGGGCCUGGGCUCUUCUUUGUAGGUAAGAAUUUAAUUACAUUUUCAAUUUCAUUAAUAGAAAUUGGGUUAUACUCUUUGAUUCAUUGAUUCUUUGGACUGUUUUCUUAGUCUCUAUUGCACUAAUUUCUGCUCUGAUUUGCAUAAUUUCCUCUUUUCUUUUGGCUUUGGGCUUGACUUUCUCUUCUUUUUCUAGUUGUUUGAGGUGUAACAUUAUUUAUUUAUUUGUAUUCAUUCUGUUUUCCUGAUGUGGGAACUCAGUGCAAUAAAUUUUCCUCUGAGGACAGCUUUCAUUGCAUCCCACAGAUUCUGGAGGCCCGGCUUCCCUGCCUGUCAGCCACAGCUUGAUCAAAUUGCGCUGGCUAGUUGUUCCCGCUCACCGCUGCGCCCCAGGGAGUUGCGGAGGAGGCAGCCUACACGGGAGUCGGUCGCUCCUCCGGGCCACUGUCAGGCUCUGGGAUCUGGGUUAGGCCAGCCUAGGGAGUCCGCGAGCAGCGUCCCUCCGGCCAGGCACCUUUCACCAAUCCCGUCCGAGAGGGAAACUUGCGGCUGCAGUUGCCACCGCGCCCUGCUCUUACAGGACUGCCCGCGCCCAGAAAAACCUCCGCUGGAGUCAAACUGCGGUAGGGAGUCAGUUCCUCGCUCACCUCGCCACCAGUCAGCCUUCCUCCCUGUCCGUCGCGUUUCCGACUCCGUUCGCAGACUCCCGUUCCCAAGCCUCUGCGUGUCUCUCCUUGCCGAGCCACUAUGGAGGCAGCCGGCCGCUGGGCAGCGGGAAAUCCAAACCGCGGUUUCCAAUGGCGCGGAGUCGAGCCUCCACACCGAGAUUUUUCUGUUCCUAUUUUAGCGCCAGGACUGUAUUCCAAGUUGGAUUCUCUCAGCCCAGUUCGUUCCUGAGUCAGCAGAGCAUAUCUCUACUGGUUCGUAUCUCCUUAGUCCGCAUCAUUCCUGGCCUCUGAGCCGAGCCUUUAGAGAGCGUUCAGUAGUUGCUGUUGUCUGUCCGCCAUGUUCUCCCCGUGACACAGAUAUAUUUUCAUAGAGAUAUAAUUAUAGCAAAAUGCAUAAAUCAUAACUGCAGUUGGAUACAUUUAACAGAUACAUACUUGUAUGUAACCAACACCCUCUUCUAGGCUUAGGAUGUGAAAGUUCCUGCAUGUAACAUGGUGAUUUCUUAAUCAUCUUUUUGAUGUUUGGUUUCUAACUUGAUUACAUAGUAAGUAGAGUAUAUAGUUUUUAUGUUACUGAAUUUUAAGUAUUUGGUGGUAGAUCUGCUAGUUGCCAACUAAAAUUGCCCUACCUUACAAAAGGACCUAUUUUUUGUUGUCGUUGUUCACCUGGAUAAUGUGCACUAUUAAAACCCCUCUGUCUUCUGGCUAGGAGGCCGUGUUGCCCAGUCUUGGAUGGUAUAAGUGUUAGAAGAUACUGGAUAUGAUUCUGGCAAAAGACAUUGCACAGGUGUGAUUUAAUUUGGCCAGGCAUCUCCACUUCUAUCUUCAAGAAGGUAUGAAUCCAAAGCUAGAUGAGGGUAACCAUCAGGGUAAAAGCCACAGGCUAAAGAGAGGGUGGCCGGAAAUCUCAACCUUCUUGCUUCCGUAAUCUUAAAACAAAUUAAAGAUAUAUAUAAUUAGGAUUUUUGUAUGAGUUCACCAGCCCUGGGUUCUUUAGUCUGUGUGUCUCAUUACAUUCAAACAAACACAUACAAACACAAAAACUGUGUUUACUGGUUCAAGAUUUUAAAGGGUGGGGAGAAAGGGAGUGGGCCUCUUUCAGCUUCCUGCAGUUCCUCACUGGUGCACUAGUAUAUAUCAAUUUGUGUAAACAUUCAACAGUGGUUGAGUCAUUAUAUUCUGCCUAUGCCCAUUAGAUUGAGCAUAUAAUUUUUGUUGAAAAAACCAUUUACAGAUUUAUAAUCUAUUGUUUACCAUGAUUGUGGGUUGUUGAAUAGUCCUUGUAAUUCUGUUAAUUUUUAAAUUUAUGGACAUAUUUUGAAGCAAUGUAAUUAAAUGAAAAGCAUUUUGACAUUUUAUACAUUUCCAGUAAAAAUUGCAAUUUUUAUCCCUACAAGUUUAUCCUUAGUGGGCUGGAGAUUUAGCUCAGUGGCAUAAGCUCCUGCAUGGCAAGUGCAAGGUUGUGAGUUCCAUCCCCAAUACCAACAAUAAAAAAAAAUUAGCCUUAGAAUGAACAUUCAACCAUUCCUCAUAGUGAUAACUAACACUUAACAUAACCAGCUACUCCUCAAAGCUUUGCAUCUGUCCUCACAGUGACAUCCUGAGGUAGGUAUUGUCACCCUUAUUCUGCAUAUGAGGAAUCUGAGGCCCAAAUUAAGGCGAGUUGGUGAAGGUAACCAUGUGGGAGAUGUUAGUAGCUGAAGUUUGACUCUUUUUGGUUCUAUUUUGAAUGCUAUUUUAUGGGGCUCUUUUGUGCUUUAGAAUUGUUGUAAUUGAGUUAUGACACAGAAGUUCAUCUUACAUUGCAAUUUGAUUAAUUUUAUGUCUACAGCAUGCAUUCACCCUGUCAAAACUAAAACAUUUCAGAGUCUGUUGCCCUAUCCCCAGGAGUCACCACUGUCCUGACUUUCAUCACGAUACAUUUGUUUUUCUGUUCAUGGAAUUGGAGCCAUACACAGCCCCCUCAUUUCUUUUUCCUGUUUAACAUAAAUUUGGUGAAGUUUGUGUUAUCAUUACUUUAUUGUUUUUAGUUGUUGGGCAAUAUUGCAUGGUCUAAGUAUACCAUGAUUAAAAAAUUCCACACCUAACAAGAUUCUACGAUACACAUUCUGGUUUGAUAACUGCCUGCUUUUGAAAUUUUAUACUAUAUACAAAGUUGUGUUUUUGUUAAUACUGUUAUGUACUUAUAUAUUCAAUUAUACUAUGUUUGAAGAUAUAGCCAAUUCUAUUGAAGAUAAUAGACAACACAGGAACUAUGGUAGAACUCCUUGUAUAAUGGUCUUUUUCAUGUGUUUAUAGGAAUAUGUUUUGUUUUAUCUUGCUUUGUUUUGUUUCUCCCUCUAAUAUAGAAAGAAUAAAAAUACAUGUUAAGACUCAUGCAUGUGUAGAAUCUAUAAAUAGUUUAUGACAACUGAUCUUAUUUUUUUUUCAUAUUCUCUUGGUCAAAUAGAGAACUGAUCUUAUGACAAAUGAUGAAAUGAACAGAUACUUUGAGGAGAGAGAGACACUAAAGUACCCAGUGCUGAUCCUGGAGUGUCAUAAUGUGAAACCCAGUAGUCAUAUUAUUCUUUGUUCAGAGUGAUAUUAGCCUGCUUGGGUUUGUUCAAUCUCAACAUAAUUGAAGAUAUGGAUAACUGCAUGUAUGUUUAAGUGUAUAGGCUUGACAACCAUAUAUCUAAGUUUUUGUUGGAUAGUUGAACAGAACUGGUUGGUCUCACUGUUUGAAUCCCCACUUUAUAUGUUCCACUUUUGUAUCUUGAAUAACUAUUUGUAAGAGGACAAUCUGUAAUCAUCAACUAGUGAUUUUUUACUAUUUAUUUUUUCUUUGAAACUAUGUAUUAUUUCUACCUGUUUUCUGUUUUGUUUAGUCUUUGUUUAAAUAAAAUAAAAUUAAAAAAGACACUACAGUACCCAGUGCUGAUCCUGGAGUGUCAUGAUGUGAAAUCCAGUCAUACUAUUAUUCUUUGUUCAGAAUGACUUUAGCCUGCUUUAAUUUGCUUAAUCUCAAUAUAAAUGAAGAUAUGGAUAACUGCAUGUUAUGUUUAAGUGUAUAGGAUUGACAACCAUAUUACUAAGUUUUUGUUGGAGAGUUGAACAGAACUGUUUGCAGUCUCGCUAUUUGAAUUCCCACUUUAUAUGUUCCACUUUUGUAUCUUGAACAACUAAUUGUAAAAGGACAGUAUGUAAACAUCAACUAGUGAUUUCUGUUUUUCUCUGAACAUAUGUAUUAUUUCUACCCAUUUUCUGUUUUGUUUAGUCUUUCCUUAAAAAAAAUUAAAAUUAAAAAAAAAUUCCACACCUGGGCCCUGGGACAAAUGAUCAUCUCGUCUCAACUUCCUAAGUGAGUGAGUGGAGUAGAGGCGUAUACCACCACAUCUAAAUGCCUUUUACUACCUUUAAUUGUAUACAUUAUGAAUUAUAGCCCUGACUUCUAACAGUGUAACUGAUACCACAACGACAAACACACCCAAAAGAAAACUGUUACAGUGCCAUUAUUUGUGUCACCUAUUGUCCUUUUAUCAAAGAAAAUAAAAGGAAAUGAUACUAGGUUAACACUACAA